UUCUGUGGGGGCGUGCGCGCAUAUCAGGCUAAUGUUGUCGAAUAUAGCCUUGAUGCGUAUGGUCAUGAGACGCUCAUUGAUGCACCUAUAGCUCAAGACUUCUUGCCUAAGUCUGGCUCCAAUUAAAUUAAGCGCUGUUGGUUUUCGUGGUAGCUGUCACCAUAGUAAAUAUAGAAGUUUUUCAUCCUCUUUUUGCCCGGCCCAUCCCAUCGUAUUUCCUGGAUGGCGGUGAUAUCUGCUUUAUAUCGUUCUAGGGCCUCCGCUUAUUCUGCGGCCGCACGUGGUCUGUUAAGGGACCUAACAUUCCACGUGCAUAUCCGAAGUUCGUUGUCCUUUAUUCGUUUGCGUUGGUUGUCAACAGUAAAUCCGUCCGUAUCCGAGGCUUGUUGGUGCUUCGCAACUAUGAGGCUUUUACGUGGCCAGGAAGUCACCCCGACGCACAACCCUCUACCUGUAGGGCCAGAUCCUAAGUAUAACUCCAAGGAUAGGAAUCCAGAUAAAACCGCUCCCUUUAGGCCUGGGCUCCGAAUAAGUAGAAGAAGCAGUAUUAGGUGUUCACUUAGUAGUUCAACAUUACUGGAAAUGUAGACGCCACAGUUGAUUCCAUCUUGGGAAUUCCUCCGCUGCCGUCUGGAUAAGGAGAGGUGCCUUAGUGGAAACACCUCUCCCCACCUCUCUCGUUUGCUGCCCCCAACAACUUUCCACUGGGGUUGGAAACAAAUCUCCAGUUGAGGUAUUAGGCGCCCGAUGUUCACCACGGGGAUGUGAGAGUCGGAGUUGAUGCACAGAGGUGGGUUUUGAGAAAAACCUGUGGAUGCUUGUGUCCUCUUGAUUGCACAUGUCUACGGAAAAAGAAAAGGAUUGCACAUUACACGCCACUUACCCAACGGCGAAUUGGUUAGUGUGGAGUAACCUUAAAAAUGCGUUAUCUUGCCUAUCUACAAAUACUACACAUCGUUUGAAUCUGUGUUGUCCAGAAGGAUAUUCUUGCCUUCAAGCAUUAAGGAAAUAUAUUAUCUAGAGUCCCGACCGGUACCCGUCCUACCUGAAACACCCUCAAAUUUUAUUCGAGGUGCACUCUCUCAAAUUCGAGGUGAACUUUCGCUAUCGGUGAAUACAUGUGCGUGGAGAAUAAAAAACAAAAUGGGGGAUUGGGCUAAAAAGAAACUUAUGGAAUUUUUGUGACCUGUCAAAAAUGCAAUAAUUUUGCAAAACAAAACAAGAACCAAAAUUUUUUAUAAUGAAGAGGGUAUACACAAGUUCACUUCUUUGAAUAAAAAUCUGUCUUUUCAUUUUGGAUAGUGCCAAUAACAUACUCUCAUGCAGGAAGCAAUUUCCCUAAGAAAGCUGGAAGAGCAAGCACACAAAGCGCUGAUUUGGAGGAAGUUUUUUUUGUAUAUUAUAUUUCUCUUAACAAAAUAACAUUAAAGUUUUUAACGGCCAUAGCUGCCGCAGGCGUUGACAGUGGAGGUGUCACAAUCUUUACCAAUAGUCAAACGCAUUCAAUGCAACAAAACCAUCAGCAACAACACCACCAAGCUCUCUAUGGUUUCUUUUUUAUCUGAG